GCUUAAUAGCUGUAGGUCCAGUGUAAGAGUUCCGCUAUUCGGUCUCACACCUACAGUGGACUACCCGAUUUUUCGCUUCUCUUCAGGGAUGAGUCAUGUGGUGGUGAAAAAUGACCCUGAACUGGACCAGCAGGUGAGUCAAACUUGCUAAUCUGGACCUGAACUCUGAAAAACAGAGUGGAGGAGCAAGUACAGCGAGCAAAGGGCGCUAUAUACCUCCUCACUUAAGGAACAGAGAAGCAUCUAAAGGAUUCCAUGAUAAAGACAGUUCAGGUUGGAGUUGCAGCAAAGAUAAGGAUGCAUAUAGCAGUUUUGGGUCUCGAGAUUCUAGAGGAAAGCCUGGUUAUUUCAGUGAACGUGGAAGUGGAUCAAGGGGAAGGUAAAUCUCAGCUUGUGUUUGUAUACAGUAGAAAUUUAGAAAUUUUAAUUUGGUAGGUUCUCAUUCUUCAUACUUUCAGUGGUCAAGCAUAUCUUUAACAGAUUACUAAUGGAUUUAAAGCAGAAUGUUGGUUUACUCAUUGUUUUGUUAGCAGUAAGAGGUCUUUAUUAAUUUAUUAAAUUAGAUGAAUAUGGUAUUUGACACAGUGAAAUCUGUUUCAACUUAAAUGAUACUUAAAGCCUGUCUGUGACAGCUUUAAACACUUCAUUUUUGAUGUGUGUUAUAAGUUGAUCUUAAAAACCUAAUGGCUGUAUUUAAUCCUUUCUGUUUUUCACAAAUAGGAGUAAAACUCUAAAAAUAUUCUCUUGUCACAUGUCUACUUUCAUAUAAAGGAGAAAUUCAAGUGUUAUUCCUGCUUUCCUACUAGUAAAUAUAUUUAGAUGAUACUAUUUUAAAUGAAGAUGUAAAGUACGUAACUAGUUAUAAGUAUCUAAAAACCUAAUUCUUAGCAUGUGAGGUCUAAGCUGUGUGAUUUUAUAAAAAUUUUUAUAAUUUUC
rnacentral:lncRNA from 1 species